rnacentral:rRNA from 1 species
ACGGGUGAGUAACACGUGAGUAACCUGCCCUUGACUCUGGGAUAAGCCUGGGAAACUGGGUCUAAUACCGGAUAUGACCUUCCAUCGCAUGGUGGUUGGUGGAAAGCUUUUGCGGUUUUGGAUGGACUCGCGGCCUAUCAGCUUGUUGGUGGGGUAAUGGCCUACCAAGGCGACGACGGGUAGCCGGCCUGAGAGGGUGACCGGCCACACUGGGACUGAGACACGGCCCAGACUCCUACGGGAGGCAGCAGUGGGGAAUAUUGCAAAAUGGGCGGAAGCCUGAUGCAGCGACGCCGCGUGAGGGAUGACGGCCUUCGGGUUGUAAACCUCUUUCAGUAGGGAAGAAGCGUAAGUGACGGUACCUGCAGAAGAAGCGCCGGCUAACUACGUGCCAGCAGCCGCGGUAAUACGUAGGGCGCAAGCGUUAUCCGGAAUUAUUGGGCGUAAAGAGCUCGUAGGCGGUUUGUCGCGUCUGCCGUGAAAGUCCGGGGCUCAACUCCGGAUCUGCGGUGGGUACGGGCAGACUAGAGUGAUGUAGGGGAGACUGGAAUUCCUGGUGUAGCGGUGAAAUGCGCAGA